rnacentral:rRNA from 1 species
GAUGAACGCUGGCGGCGUGCCUAAUACAUGCAAGUCGAACGGAGUGAGUAGAAAUACGAACUUAGUGGCGAACGGGUGAGUAACGCGUUGGUGACCUGCCCCGAAGAGGGGGAUAACAGUUCGAAAGGACUGCGUAAUACCCCAUGUGAUCACUUGGAUUAGAAAAGAGUGAUUAAAAGGAGAAAUCCGCUUUGGGAGGGGCCUGCGUCCCGAUCAGCUAGUUGGUAGGGUAAAGGCCUACCAAGGCGAAGACGGGUAGGGGGCCUGAGAGGGUGACCCCCCACACUGACACUGAAACACGGGUCAGACACCUACGGGUCGGCAGCAGUAGGGAAUAUUGGUAAUCUGGGAAACCGGGAACCAGCAACGCCGCGUGUGCGAUGAAGGCCUUCGGGUUGUAAAGCACUUUUUGAGGGGAUGAGGAAGGACAGUACCCUCAGAAUAAGCCUCGGCUAACUACGUG